UACGUAGGGGCCGAGCGUUGUCCGGAUUUAUUGGGCGUAAAGCGCGCGCAGGCGGCCUCGCGCGCCCGACGUGAAAGCCCCCGGCUUAACCGGGGAGAGUCGUUGGGGACGGCGGGGCUUGAGGGCGGGAGAGGUCGGUGGAAUUCCCGGUGUAGUGGUGAAAUGCGUAGAGAUCGGGAGGAACACCUGUGGCGAAGGCGGCCGACUGGGCCGACCCUGACGCUGAGGCGCGAAGGCGUGGGGAGCGAACGGG
rnacentral:rRNA from 1 species